rnacentral:tRNA from 1 species
GCCUGGGUGGUUCAGUCGGUUGAGCGUCUGACUUCAGCUCAGGUCAUGAUCUCGCGGUCUGUGAGUUCGAGCCCCGCAUCGGGCU